GAGUUCGCGGGCUCGCGGCCCCACCCCGCCCACCCCGCCCACCGCGAGCAACGCCGCCACUCGUCCUUUUUGCUCCCCGCGGAACAUCUCAACGCUCAUUCUCGAUUCUCGAAGGUUCGCGGGGAGGGACGGGUGACAGAGUACAGAGUUCGCCGCCGGGCAGUAGGUAUACUGCAGCGCAGUGCGAGGCCGAGUCUACGGGAGGCAUCGACGAUCGCCCUGUACCUGUAGGCAAACAAUGGGAGAAGAGAGCAACACUUGGCGCCGUGUGCAUCGGAUGACCGUUAUUUUUGCAACCGCCAACCAAUCUACCUGUCGCAAAUUCCAACAUGGCGGUCAUCGGCGGCUCAAGUGCAGUACCUCUGCGGGAUAUCAGGAGAUGAUGCGACUCCUGGUGCGAUUGCAGUGAAAGGGGAGAGCGACGCAAUUUAUAACUAUUUCAGUCAAACUUCAUUGAAAAUGCUUACAAUUUCACACAUGCUACCAAUCGUCAUAUUUUGCCUUUUUCAACGCAAUUUCGUUGUUGCUCACAACACCUGCGAAUGAACAAAUAACUUGGACCUGAAAUGUGGGACCUUAUUCGGCUAGGCUAUACUGGAAGACGGACCCGAUGCCCUCUUAGGGGUAGAGAUUGUUGGCUUAACCAACAAGGUGUGUGUCUUCAAAAAAGGCAACGCCGGAGAUGUCUUCCCCUGAAGAACUAUGUUUAUCAUACGCCACUCACAUAACACAUAGGUGGUAGAAGUCUCCACUUACUACAGUCUAUACCAAGAGACGGACCCGAUGCCCUCUUAGGGGCAGAGAGUGUUGGCUUAACCAACAUGGUGUGUGUCUGAAAAAUGACAACGCCGGAGAUGUCUCCUAGGAAAGGAAUGUAUAGAUCAAGCACUACUGAUCCAUACAGAGGUGGAGAAAGGCCCCGUUUUUGAAGAAAGACGAAAUGAAGAUUUUAUUAUUUGUUGGAAAUUCUAUGUGAUUGGAAUGUAAAAUUACUUCGUAUAAUUCUUGCUGUCAUCAAUAAUCAAAAAUUUGAUGAUUACAAAACAUUAUAAUUGAUUAAUUUCAUAGUUGCACUUUGAUGAUAUGAAUUCACUAUUUAUGUGAGUUAUUUUGUUUUAUUUAUUUUAUUUUAUUUAUCAUUAUUUAAAUUCCGUGAUAUUUUUUACUUUAUUAACAUCUUUAAUUCAUUUAAAAAUUAGUAGUAAACACGUUAACUAUAGAUAAAUCAAUAAUUAGAUACUAGAAUCUGCCUUUUUGUACAUGUAUGACAGCAUCAUUGCAAGCACAGGGUACAACAAAACUAAUAUUUGAGACCGCGUAUCUCAUGCACAUACUCAUGCGAGUGCAAUUGUACGAAAAGUCUUGUGAGCGGGCUCGAGUUCCUUGAGAAAUUAAUUCUAUUGAGUACAAGGGCAAUAUUUCAUGGCGGAGCAUAACAGUAGCAUUGGUAUAGGCACAGCUCCGAAAAGUUGUUAAAUAUCGUUUGACGUAGUGGUGAUUUACUUUUAAAGCGUGCUAUCGUUAAACAGGUCGAGCGAUCCGAUACAUUAUUACGCGCGUUCACGUGCAUACAGUCACCGAUAUAUAUAGCCACAUAGGCAUUCGCAUACUCGUUUUCUGCAUAAGCAAAGUACCUAAUUUAUGACUCUCGGGUUCCCAAAACUAUAAUCGCAUACACCAAGGGUUAACCAGUAAGGCUUUUUCUCGAAAACUUACGUGCGUUUGCACGCGUUGUCGACUUGCCGAGAUCAUUUCUUUUCGUUCAAUCAAUCAUAUUCAUCUUUAUUUUCAAAUGUAUGCACGUUCGCGAAUUAUGGCAACGCAUGCAGGAUGCUUUGGUCUUGUAAAAUAUGGACUAAGAUGUUGGGCGAGUUUUUUUGCUACAUUGUAUGGAGAACAGUGUGCAAUGCACGUAUGGGCGAAUUUCGUGGUCGUGUUUGUGAAGCCGAGUCAUAAAUUCAGGCGUAAGGUACAAAUACGCAUGCAGGUUUUUUUGGUCGUUGAUUAUUCUUUCGACGUGGCCAUCCUCAAAAUAUGCCGAGUCCGUGCACGACUUAAUAAUUGUGACAUUUAUUGAAUUAAAUUGUCAUAAUUAUUUAUGGGUUUUUAUAGGGAGAAAAGCAUCUCGCCUGAUAUUUAUUUUUUGGACGUCGAACGUGUUUGCUUGAGGCCCCUGAGACCAUGUGAACUGUAAAAAUAACAAGAAUUAUCAUAAGCCAUGCAUUGUUUGCGAAAAACUGCAACAUGCUGAUACAUUUUAAAUGUUUUCCACUAGCUUUAAAAGGUAAUUACCACGUAAUUUUGUUUCGAGACAACGUGAAAAGUGCAAAGUGUCGGCUCCGCAUUAAGAUCGGUAUCUGCGUCUUUGGCUCGCGCUGUACAGCUCUGGUCAUCUUCUAUAUACUUAGCUCUUUUCAGCACGAAGCCUCGAAGGCAACAAGAAGAUAAUGCGGUGUCUUUCUUCUUUUCGCGCGCAGCUCUCGCACUAUCCUCUACAUUUAAACGACUGUUCGGCUGUCUAUAUUAUAGUCAUCGCAUGCGCUUUUGCUCGAAAAAGGCAAUUCACGGGCACACGCUCUGUUUUCUCCCACCGGGCGAGCUGCGCGUGUGCCUCAGCGACGGCAGGUGGGCCCCGUCUUUCUGCGUGUUGUUGCCAGAUCCGCAGUGAUGAAUACGAGUUCGUGAUGCGAAGUGGGAACGUAGAAAUUCGUCAUUCUUUAUUUUUGGUUCUUUGAGUCGAGUUUCUUACAGUUUAGUAUGAAAAUUAAAUUAAUAAAAAGUUCAAAUCAAUAGUUAAAAUGUAAUACUGACACAAACAAAAGACGGGUUGCAAUCCGAUUAUUUGGCCUGUCUCCAUUAGCGUUCCAAUCUUCGCGCGAGAUUGUUAUAAUGUGCAUUUCCGCUGUCGGCUUAUUGUCAGUUAGUAUACGUGCGAUUAUUAGCCGUGAUUAGUCAAUUGACCAAAGUGUCAGCGGAAAAGAUUGACAAGGAGCCCGCAGUGAACUCGCUCUACCGUGAGCCGUGACGGAGUUUAUAUGGCAGGCUGAUUUAAUCGAAUCAAGUAGCAUCACUUUGAAGAGCUUAUCAUUAAAGAACAUUUAGUAAAGAUUUUAUUCGGGAUUCAGACAUCGUAGCUACGUUGUAACGAGGAUGGGGUCUGUAGAAUGUAGCUGGGCGAGCGAAACUACUUAAAUAGGAUGAUUACUUUUUUUUAUUCGAUGGAUUAGGUAAAUAGUUAAACUGAUACUCUUGAGAAAUAUGCUUCAAUGUGAUGGCGAGUGUAUAAGGCACUUUAGGAGGCGAAAAAUGACUGAAUGAAAAAAGACGUAGAGGUGUUCGAUUGGUCUUCUGUUCGAUUGGUGGGAUCCCAGGUAGGAUCUCAGUUAAACGAGUUUAUCCGGGAGUCUCCAGGGGGUCCUCCGAACGCGAAACGACCACGACUGGAGAACGGGAUUCGAAUGAGAAAUCGGCAUCGCGCCAACCAGUCACGUGAGAAAGGGAAAAUAUGCGUGUUGGGAUCGCAUGCUUCGCUAACUUCAAAGGGUUUAGUUUUUUACAAAAAAUAUUAUUGCGUACUAUUUAAACGGGAGACUUGAGUUUUAUUCCUCGUAUUGCAAAAAAUGUUAAGACAUUUGCAUUUUUCAAAUACCGUACAAGAAAUAUUAGAAAAUGUUCGUGACUUACGAGCAUGGAGAUCUUAAAAAAUUCAUGAAUAUUAUUUAUAUUAAUGAGUUUAAAGCGGGCUGAUUCUUUAAUAGCUCAAUAAAUUAGAUUUAAAUUGAUUUAAAAUUAACUCAUUACUCGCUUCUCUUAAGACAUGCAAUAUGCUCACGUGAUAACUAUACUUUCUCGUUUAAAUCAUACAUAAUUGUUGUGCACAUUUUUAAUUGUGUUGUAAUGUCACGCACAUGAAAUAUAGAAUGUUUAGACGCGAGUCGCACCUUGUCACGGGUAUUCAGAUAUUACGUUCUGAAAAACGGCUACCGAUUUUUAACGCUUAUAUUAUUUUUUUGCUUUGAGAUAUAAGAGCUUGUCAGUGCGAAGUCACUUUGCACUCCCGUCCCCUCAUGGUCGCAGAUAUUAUGUAAUCGAUAGUGAGCAAACGAUGCAAAUUUCUUGCAUCUUUUCGUAUAGGUUUAAUUCCAUCUUGUCAGCUCGAGGACGUCGGCUAAGGAAAAAGAGACCGAUCCCGCAGUUUCGACGACGCGUACGCCUUAUACACUUAUCAUAAAAAAGCAAAGGGGGAAAAAGAAAUGCAGCUCAAUUGGGGUUGCAGUUAUUUGGAUACGCGGCUCAUUCAUCAUACGCAAGCCACUUUUUAUACAACCGAAAGAAUACUUCCUGUACAGACAUUUCGUUAAACAGAGAACGUGUAUUAUAAUGUUAUGCAACAUCUCUUCCUAUUUAUAUCCAGUUUAUUGUUAACAGAAGUAGCGAGGGUCUUUUUUGUCGAAUAAUUUUUCUCUUGGAUCCGUUACACUUGCCGCACACGUGGCCGACGUCACAAAAACUCGACUUGCUUCCUAUUUGUAAUAGGGUGCGGCGAGUGUGGCCAGUAUGGCUUGAGCGCCUGUCGCCAUCUACAGGCUGCCAACUCGCCAAAAAUCGCCACAUUAUACUUGUACAACCAAUGAAAUCGCUACAACCUAUUAAGUACGCCUAGCUUGGCGCGAAUGUUCAAAUAUUCGAA